UACGAGGGGGGCAAAUGUUGUUCGGAAUCACUGGGCGUAAAGGGAGCGUAGGCGGGUUUCUAAGUCAGGUGUUUAAUCCCGGGGCCCAACCCCGGACAGGCACUUGAAACUGGGAAUCUUGAAUAGUGGAGAGGUCAGUGGAAUUGGGGUGUAGCGGUGGAAUGCGCAGAUAUCAGGAGGAACACCAAUAGGCGAAGGCAGCUCGCUGGGACGGUACUGACGCCUAAGGCGCGAAAGCGUGGGGAGCGAACAGG
rnacentral:rRNA from 1 species